GCAUAAGCUUUACCACUUAUUUAGAAUCCACAUAUAUGAAAUUAAUUUGAAGUAAGUAGAUCCUAGAUUUAUCUGACAAUCACUGGGAUGAUUCCAACUCAACCUUUUUUAUAAAAUGGUUAACUCAAAUCUCCACUAAAUUAGACGACCUCAAGUCAACAUCCCUAUGAGUAGAAUCAACUUAGUAUCAAUAAAUAAAUAGACAUGAAAUUUUGUCCCUUAUUUAUUAAAACUCAAAUAAGUCUUCUAAAAAUUUAACAAUAGCUAGAUACU
rnacentral:lncRNA from 1 species